UACGUAGGGUCCGAGCGUUGUCCGGAAUUAUUGGGCGUAAAGAGCUCGUAGGCGGUCUGUCGCGUCUGCUGUGAAAACUCAGGGCUUAACCCUGAGCUUGCAGUGGGUACGGGCAGACUAGAGUGCGGUAGGGGAGACUGGAAUUCCUGGUGUAGCGGUGAAAUGCGCAGAUAUCAGGAGGAACACCUGAGGCGAAGGCGGGCUACUGGGCCGAUACUGACGCUGAGGCGCGAAAGCCAGGGGAGCGAACGGG
rnacentral:rRNA from 1 species